AAGGAUCAUUACAGUAUUUGGUCGACGGGGGGGUUUUNGAUGCUGGCCCCACUAGUGGGGCAUGUGCGCGCCCCCCCUUNNCGNUNNNANNAGUUCCUNNNAACCNUANUNGGGGGNNAGNNUUCCCNGAAGCNNNCCUUCCUUUUUUANUUUUAAUNNAANCCNGGUUUAAAACGCAUGUCUGAGCCUUACGGGGCGAAUAAAGUUAAUACAACUUUCAACAACGGAUCUCUUGGCUUUCGCAUCGAUGAAGGACGCCGCGAAAGUGCGAAACGUAAUGUGAAUUGCAGAAUUCAGUGAAUCAUCGAAUCUUUGAACGCAUCUUGCGCUCCUUGGUAUUCCGAGGAGCAUGCCUGUUUGAGUGUCGUGAACCUCUCUCGACCCGACUCCUUGGAGAGUUUGGGUUGGAUUUGGACGCUUGCGGUCCCCAUCGCUCGUCUUUAAAUGCAUCAGCUGGCCCCCCCAUCAAGGUUGGACCGAUGACGGUGUGAUAAUUAACAUGUGUGACGCCGUUCUGGGCCAACUUUUCAUAUGUGGGGUCGCUUCUAACCGUCCCUCUGGGACAAAACNACAAGCCUUUUGACCUCAAAUCAGGUAGGACUACCCGCUGAACUUAA
rnacentral:rRNA from 1 species